rnacentral:rRNA from 1 species
UACAGAGGUCUCAAGCGUUGUUCGGAUUCAUUGGGCGUAAAGGGUGUGUAGGUGGCGCCGUAAGUCGGGUGUGAAAUCUCGGAGCUUAACUCCGAAACUGCAUUCGAUACUGCGGUGCUUGAGGACUGGAGAGGAGACUGGAAUUCAUGGUGUAGCAGUGAAAUGCGUAGAGAUCAUGAGGAAGACCAGUGGCGAAGGCGGGUCUCUGGACAGUUCCUGACGCUGAGGCACGAAGGCCAAGGGGAGCAAACGGG